rnacentral:rRNA from 1 species
UACGAAGGGUGCAAACGUUGCUCGGAAUCAUUGGGCGUAAAGCGCACGUAGGCGGCUCCGCAAGUCGGAUGUGAAAUCCCUCGGCUCAACCGAGGACGUGCAUCCGAAACUGCAGAGCUUGAGUAUGGAAGAGGGUCGCGGAAUCCCCGGUGUAGAGGUGAAAUUCGUAGAUAUCGGGGGGAACACCAGUGGCGAAGGCGGCGACCUGGGCCAAUACUGACGCUGAGGCGCGAAAGCUAGGGGAGCAAACAGG